AGUGGCGGACGGGUGAGUAACGCGUGGGUAACCUGCCUCAUACAGGGGGAUAACAGUUGGAAACGACUGCUAAUACCGCAUAAGCACACAGUACCGCAUGGUACGGUGUGAAAAACUCCGGUGGUAUGAGAUGGACCCGCGUCUGAUUAGCCAGUUGGCGGGGUAACGGCCCACCAAAGCGACGAUCAGUAGCCGACCUGAGAGGGUGACCGGCCACAUUGGGACUGAGACACGGCCCAAACUCCUACGGAAGGCAGCAG
rnacentral:rRNA from 1 species